AGGGUGUCUGCCUCACGGACCAAAACUGGGAGUUGGUCCCACAGGAGAGGAGCCUGAUAGCUAAAGAUGCCUACUGCAUCGAGCCAGUGCAGGAGUACUGGGACAAAACCAGGGCAGAAGUCUUGGAAAGUCUUCGACAAAAGGACCGCGUUGUUGUCCUAGGUGAGGCCAACUUCUAUUACACAUAGAAUUCUGUCACCGGUUUUGAAGGAAGGAUUUACUCUGGAAUCUGAGUAUCUAAUACCUGUAAUGUUUGUUUUCAACAGGUGAUGGCAGAAUGGACUCCCCUGUGUCGAUACGCGCAUCAACAUGGGUUUUGCUCUAUCAGCUCGAAACAUGCGCCGACGCAUCGGUGUUGCCGGACCAAUCACUAAUAAUAAGGAUUGCCUACUGUCUAAUUUGUGAAGCUGUCUGAAGUAAACCCUCUAGUAGGAAUGGUCAUUGUGCACAGUUUUGCACAUACACCACCACAGAGUAAGACUCCAGAGACAUUGUCCACAUCGUCUCUGUUGAUAAGCAAGAAACCAACAGGAACUUGCUCAUCAUGGAGAAGGAGUGCUUUAUUCGUACAAUGGAAGCUCUCCUUCCAGAGCUUGCUAUCAAAGAAGUUGUCACUGAUGCCCACCCACAGAUCAGUGCAUUGUUGAAUCCAGAGCGUGGUAAAUACAAAGCAUGGGGGAUCCAACACUCACUGGAUAUAUGGCAUGCAGCUAAAAGUCUAAGCAAGAAGCUUCGACGGGUUGGGACUGUAAAAAAAUCAAACAGACAUUCAAGCCUGGAUCAAGGACAUUGUUAUUUCACUUUUGGUACUGCAGUAAGCAUGCUGUAACUGAGGAGCAGUUCAAGAUGAUGUGGGUUGGCGUGCUGCACCACGUACGGGACGAGCACUCUUGGGUAAUUGGGUGCUGUCAGCAUAAGCCACUGGAGGAAGGCAGCCAAACAAGGUUCUGCCACUCACAAGGCAUUGGCUGGAGUUGUGCUCAACAAGCGAUGGUUGGGCCUGGUGAAAAAGUUCUUGAACUUCAGUCAUUCCAAAAUCACCUCCUCAUGUACUCAUCAAAGCGGCACGCCUACACACCAUUUGUCUACAAGACAAGGACACUACUGGCUGCCAUUGACUACAACAAGCACAAUCGGCGCCUUCCUGCACACAACCGGGAUGGUCAAAAAAUUUAUGUUUCUACUGUAAUGUUUCUGUUGUGAAUGUCUUACAUUGUAAACAAAUUUGGCUAUAUUGAUUUCAACACAUGGCUCUGUUUAUUACUUUCUAGCUACAGACGCUCAUACAAAAAGAAGUCAAAGAGCUGGAGUGUCUACACCAUGAAGGAAAAGAAGCAGUACAGCUACAUUCCUGACCUUCAGAGGGCAAUUCUGGCAAGGAGGCUGGGAAGUGGCAAAGGCCUUCCCCGCAAGCAGACUUUGAGGCCUGCUGACCCAAGGCGCCUUGGUUUGCUCGCACCGGAACAGCCACCACCUACAGCUGAACUUGUAAGCAUACAUGUGUCCCGUGGGGACUUGGGCCACAGAGACACAGAGGACCUAGAGAACUGAGCAGAUGGAUGUUUACAAUCCAAAGUAUUUGAAUUCUGUAAAUAGGAAGUUAGGAGGCACUUUUCUCUUGUGGUGAAACAUGUACAGAUCUUUAUUUGUAAAUAAACUUUGAAAA